rnacentral:rRNA from 1 species
UACGUAGGGCGCGAGCGUUGUCCGGAAUUAUUGGGCGUAAAGAGCUCGUAGGCGGCCUGUUGCGUCCGCUGUGAAAUCCCGGGGCUCAACCCUGGGCGUGCAGUGGAUACGGGCAGGCUGGAGGCAGGCAGGGGAGAACGGAAUUCCCGGUGUAGCGGUGAAAUGCGUAGAGAUCGGGAGGAACAUCAGUGGCGAAGGCGGCCAUCUGGGCAGUAACUGACGCUGAGGAGCGAAAGCGUGGGGAGCGAACAGG